rnacentral:rRNA from 1 species
UACGGAAGGCAGCAGUGGGGAAUAUUGCACAAUGGGCGCAAGCCUGAUGCAGCCAUGCCGCGUGUAUGAAGAAGGCCUUCGGGUUGUAAAGUACUUUCAGCGGGGAGGAAGGCGAUGCGGUUAAUAACCGCGUCGAUUGACGUUACCCGCAGAAGAAGCACCGGCUAACUCCGUGCCAGCAGCCGCGGUAAUACGGAGGGUGCAAGCGUUAAUCGGAAUUACUGGGCGUAAAGCGCACGCAGGCGGUCUGUUAAGUCAGAUGUGAAAUCCCCGGGCUUAACCUGGGAACUGCAUUUUGAACUGGCAGGCUUGAGUCUUGUAGAGGGGGUAGAAUUCCAGGUGUAGCGGUGAAAUGCGUAGAGAUCUGGAGGAAUACCGGUGGCGAAGGCGGCCCCUGGGACAAGACUGACGCUCAGGUGCGAAAGCGUGGGGAGCAAACAGGAUAGGAUACC